rnacentral:rRNA from 1 species
GCCUACGGGGGGCAGCAGUGGGGAAUAUUGCACAAUGGGGGGAACCCUGAUGCAGCGACGCCGCGUGGGUGAAGGAGUAUUUCGGUAUGUAAAGCCCCUUCAGCAGGGAAGAAGAUGACGGUACCUGACCAAGAAGCCCCGGCUAACUACGUGCCAGCAGCCGCGGUAAUACGUAGGGGGCAAGCGUUGUCCGGAUUUACUGGGUGUAAAGGGAGCGCAGACGGCAGUGCAAGUCUGGAGUGAAAGCCCGGGGCCCAACCCCGGAACGGCUCUGG